UGGGUAAACUCCGGGAGUUGGUGAUGAACAGGGAGGCCUGGCGUGCUGCGAUUCAUGGGGUGGCAAAGAGUCGGACUCGACUGAGUGACUGAACUGAACUGAACUGAAAAGCAACACAAUUACAAUAAAGAACAUUUUGGCUUGUCAACUUUGUGCCAGGUGGCUCCUCAGUGCUUUAUGUUCAUGGUUCUCAUUCUGUUCUCAGGACCUUGCCAUGAGUUAAUUGCUCCUUGUUUUCUCAUUUUACAGAUGCUGAGGCUGAGACUCAGAGAGUUCUAAAUAGGAUUCCUGAAGUCUCAGAGAGGCAAGGUGGGAAGAAGGUUCAAAUCUAAUGCUGAUCCUCCAAAGCACAUUCUCUUCUCUUGUUCCCAGGGCCACACUGGCAGGGAGCAUACUCACUUAGAAAGUGGCCAGUGGUCAUUUCCACUUGAAGAUGGAAUAUCCUUGUCAUCUUUUGCAUAAUAGGAGGCUUUAUUUACCAGAUACUGACUAAGGAAGUCAUUCCUGACUGCACCACCCACCACUCUGCUUUAUCUUUCACCUGGAGGCAACCAUGAAGAAAUCAGAGAAUGGGAAUGGUUGCUGGCUCCUGGUUUGAACAAUUUAUUUGACCUCAUUUAACCUUAGGGUUUUUUCCUACAAUACAGAAAUGGUAAACAGUGCCUCCUUCAGACCAUCAUCAUUAGGAUUAAAUAAAAUAAUGCAUGUAAGUACUCAAUAAAUGUAAACCAUUAUUACAUGUAAUUUACCACAACACUACUUGCCAUAAUUUAAUUGUUUUUGUUUUAAUUAUUGGGGCUUCCCUUGUGGCUCAGCUGGUAAAGAAUUCACCUGCAAUGUGGGAGACCUGGGUUUGAUCCCUGGGUUGGGAAGAUCCCCUAGAGAAGGGAAUUAUUAUUAUCUUGAAACUCCCUUCAAUAAAUGUUGAAUUAGAAUUCUUUUUCAUACUCUUGCCAUAAUAAAUAUUUACCAAGAAGAAAUAUAUUUAUUUUAAAAUAGAGCUGAAUUAUUAAACAAACAUCAGUGAAUCAAUAUCAAUUCUAAUGUUUGCUUUUUUACUCAUUAAAAGUUUGUAUAAGCU